GAAGAAAUGGUUAACUGUGACGAAUGUGGCGUCUGGGUGCACACACGGUGUUCGCGUUAUGUGAAGGGAGAUGAUAUUUUUGUUUGCGACAAAUGUAAGGGGAAGAACGAGAGGAAUGAUUGUGAGGAGACCGAGGUUGCGCAAUUAUUGGUUGAACUUCCUACCAAAACCAUGAGCAUGGAGAGUACAUACGUCUGUAAUGGGCCAUCCCAG
rnacentral:misc_RNA from 1 species